rnacentral:tRNA from 1 species
UCUUAGAUAACUAGGAUAGUGCUAGACUUUUAAUCUAGAAACGGCAUGAUAUUGGAAUGUCUCUAAGAA